GAAGAUAUAGCUCAGUGGCAGAGCACAUGCUUGGCAUGCAUGAGGUCCUGGGUUCGAUCCCCAGUACCUCCA
rnacentral:tRNA from 1 species